GACAGGGGAUGCAAGCGUUAUCCGGAAUGAUUGGGCGUAAAGCGUCUGUAGGUGGCUUAAAAAGUCUCCUGUCAAAGAUCAGGGCUUAACCCUGGCCGGCAGGAGAAACUCUUAGGCUAGAGUUUGGUAGGGGCAGGAGGGAAUUCCCGGUUGGAGCGGUGGAAAUGCGUAGAGAUCGGGAGGAACACCAAAGGCGAAAGCACUCUGCUGGGCCACAACUGACACUGAGAGACGAAAGCGAGGGAGCAAAAGGG
rnacentral:rRNA from 1 species